GCCCUCACAUCAAAGGAACAUGUGCCAAAAUUGGAAGGCUACAAAAAAGUAAGCAUGGCCCCUGUUUAAGAAUGACUAACAGAUCCAUGAAUUAUGACAUAUUUUU
ensembl:snRNA U6 U6 spliceosomal RNA